rnacentral:rRNA from 1 species
GAUGAACGCUGGCGGCGUGCCUAAUACAUGCAAGUCGAGCGAACAGACGAGGAGCUUGCUCCUCUGACGUUAGCGGCGGACGGGUGAGUAACACGUGGAUAACCUACCUAUAAGACCGGGAUAACUUCGGGAAACCGGAGCUAAUACCGGAUAAUAUAUUGAACCGCAUGGUUCAAUAGUGAAAGACGGUUUUGCUGUCACUUAUAGAUGGAUCCGCGCCGCAUUAGCUAGUUGGUAAGGUAACGGCUUACCAAGGCGACGAUGCGUAGCCGACCUGAGAGGGUGAUCGGCCACACUGGAACUGAGACACGGUCCAGACUCCUACGGGAGGCAACAGUAGGGAAUCUUCCGCAAUGGGCGAAAGCCUGACGGAGCAACGCCGCGUGAGUGAUGAAGGUCUUCGGAUCGUAAAACUCUGUUAUUAGGGAAGAACAAAUGUGUAAGUAACUAUGCACGUCUUGACGGUACCUAAUCAGAAAGCCACGGCUAACUACGUG